AUGGAGAUAGAAGCGACACCGCUGAGCCCGCAGCAGCAAGCAUACAAUGACGGUGGCGGUUCGGACCAACGGGCCGGCGCCGGCACCGGCGCUAAACCACUCUACCGCAACCCCGUCGUGGUCGUCAACUUCCUCCUGAUGGCUGUUGGCACGGUGUGUGGCCCGCUCCUCUUUCGCGCCUACUUCCUCCACGGCGGCACGCGCAAGUGGCUCACCUGCCUGCUCCAGACCGCUGCGUGGCCGCUCCUGCUCCCGCCGCUCUGCGUCUCCUUCUUCUCCCGGCGCCGCCGGCAGCGCGAAGAGAGCGCCACGGAGGCCGCUCCUCUCUCCCUCAUGUCGGGCCGCCUCCUGGCCGCCACCGUGGCCAUCGGCCUCGUGAUCGGGAUCAUCGACUUCCUCUACGCGUACGGGCUGGCCUACCUCCCGGUGUCCACCUCGUCCAUCCUCGUCUCCACGCAGCUGGCCUUCACGGCCGUGUUCGCGCUGGUGGUGGUGCGCCAUCGGUUCACCGCUUUCUCCGUGAACGCGGUGGUGCUGCUCGUCGUGGGCGCCGCCAUGCUGGGGCUGAACGGCGGAGGGGACCGCCCCGCGGGGGUGUCCCGGGCGCAGUACUACGCCGGGUUCGCCAUGACGCUCGGGUCCGCGGCGCUGUAUGGCCUCGUGCUGCCCCUGAUGGAGCUCAGCCAGGCGCAGCACGCGGCGCGCGCCGGCGCGGCGGUCACGUACACGCUCGUCUUGGAGAUCCAGAUGGUGAUCGGGAUCACAGCCACGGCCUUCAGCGCCGUCGGCAUGCUCGUGAACCGCGAAUUCCACCAUCUCUUGAUCAAAUUAUACUUUGUCUGGCCAGACGAUGAUGGAUGCCGUGAUACUGAGAGGGCCCAAAGAAUAUUUGAUGAACCUGAAAUUCCAGACGAAGCUCGGAGGUUCGACCUCGGCGAGGCAGGCUACUACUUUAUGCUCGUUAGUUCAGCCACGGCUUUCCAGUGCUUCUUCAUCGGCACGAUUGGUGCCAUCUUCUACGGCUCGGCGCUGCUCGCCGGUGUCAUCAUGACAUUGCUCAUCUCUGUCACCGAGGUGUUUGCCGUCAUUUUCUUCCAUGAACCAUUCAAUGGCACCAAAGGUGUCGCCCUCGCGAUUUCUAUCUGGGGUUUCAUCUCCUACUUUUAUGGUGAGAUUCGGACCAAUGAGCAGCAGUCCAACACGUCAACGGAUAAGGAGCACUUGGACCCGUAG
rnacentral:rRNA from 1 species